rnacentral:rRNA from 1 species
AGCGAAAUGCGAUAAGUGGUGUGAAUUGCAGAAUCCCGUGAACCAUCGAGUCUUUGAACGCAAGUUGCGCCCGAUGCCAUCAGGCUAAGGGCACGCCUGCCUGGGCGUCGUGUGCUGCGUCUCUCCUGUCAAUGCUUUCGUAUCAUAUAGACAGGUUUGCAUUGCGU